ACUGUACGACCUGAAAUAGGGCUGCAAUGGAAGCUCAGAGAAGAGAAGCAAAAGAGGCUGCUGAAAGGGAGGCCAAUGAAGCGUCAAGCCAGGCUGCUGUUCAGAAGGAAGCUUUAUGAUUGCAAACUAAAGCCAAAACCAAGGAAUCUGAAUUUGAAAAACCAAUAAAUUCAGCAUCAGCAGGGGCUAUUGGUGGUAGGUGACAUUACUAAAGCUGCAGAAGUUGCACUAAAGUUGGAGCGUGAAAGAUUAAAAAAGUUGGAAGACUUGGAUGAAGGAAACAAGGCAUUAGGAUUGAAUGUAAAUAAGGAGGUUUCUACUGGUGUGAAAAAGUUAUUGAGGGAAUCGUCUGGCCAGUACAGCGACUUCAGUAUUCUUUUCUCUUUAAAUUAUCAGG